rnacentral:rRNA from 1 species
UACGUAGGGUGCAAGCGUUGUUCGGAAUCACUGGGCGUAAAGGGCGUGUAGGCGGAACGAUUAGCGAGGGGUGAAAUCCCGGGGCUCAACCCCGGAACUGCUCUUCGAACUGUCGAUCUAGAGAAGGUCAGGGGCCGGCGGAAUUCCUGGUGUAGAGGUGAAAUUCGUAGAGAUCAGGAGGAACAUCGGAGGCGAAGGCGGCCGGCUGGGGCCAUUCUGACGCUGAGGCGCGAAAGCGUGGGGAGCAAACAGG